AGAGUUUGAUCCUGGCUCAGGAUGAACGCUAGCUACAGGCUUAACACAUGCAAGUCGAGGGGAAACGACAUCGAAAGCUUGCUUUUGAUGGGCGUCGACCGGCGCACGGGUGAGUAACGCGUAUCCAACCUGCCCAUCACUUGGGGAUAACCUUGCGAAAGUAAGACUAAUACCCAAUGAUAUCUCUAGAAGGCAUCUGAAAGAGAUUAAAGAUUUAUCGGUGAUGGAUGGGGAUGCGUCUGAUUAGCUUGGUUGGCGGGGUAACGGCCACCAAAGCAACGAUCAGUAGGGUUCUGAGAGGAAGUCCCCCANAUUGGAACUGAGACACGGUCCAAACUCCUACGGGAGGCA
rnacentral:rRNA from 1 species